rnacentral:lncRNA from 1 species
CCAAAUAUAAAAACAAAACAUCAAUCAUAAAAGAAAGGUGGGCUUCACCCCACCACAAAUAAAAUUAUUUGUCCUCAAAUGCAAACAAUUCAAUACUAUCCAAAAUUUAAAUAAUGAAAGACAAAGAGGGAGGUAAAGAGGGGAUCAUGUCUACUCAGUUGCUCCAUCUGUGUGCGGUGCAUCGAUCUGGAUUUGGGCAUCAGUGCCCG